rnacentral:rRNA from 1 species
CCUUCCGGUUAAGGGUGCCUGCGGAAGGAUCAUUACAGUAUUCUUUUUGCCAGCGCUUAAUUGCGCGGCGAAAAAACCUUACACACAGUGUUUUUUGUUAUUACAAGAACUCUUGCUUUGGUCUGGACUAGAAAUAGUUUGGGCCAGAGGUUUACUAAACUAAACUUCAAUAUUUAUAUUGAAUUGUUAUUUAUUUUAAUUGUCAAUUUGUUGAUUAAAUUCAAAAAAUCUUCAAAACUUUCAACAACGGAUCUCUUGGUUCUCGCAUCGAUGAAGAACGGGGCGAAAUGCGAUAAGUAAUAUGAAAUGCAGAAUUUUGUGAAUCAUUGAAUCUUUGAACGCCCAUUGAACCUUUUGAUAUUCCAAAGGGGAUGAAUGUUUGAGCGUCAUUUCUCUCUCAAACCUUCGGGUUUGGUAUUGAGUGAUACUCUUAGUCGAACUAGGCGUUUGCUUGAAAUGUAUUGGCAUGAGUGGUACUGGAUAGUGCUAUAUGACUUUCAAUGUAUUAGGUUUAUCCAACUCGUUGAAUAGUUUAAUGGUAUAUUUCUCGGUAUUCUAGGCUCGGCCUUACAAUAUAACAAACAAGUUUGACCUCAAAUCAGGUAGGACUACCCGCUGAACUUAAGCAUAUCAAAA